AUGAACGCUAGCGACAGGCUUAACACAUGCAAGUCGAGGGGCAGCGGGGGUAGCGAUACCCGCCGGCGACCGGCGCACGGGUGAGUAACGCGUAUGCAACUUGCCUAUCAGAGGGGGAUAACCCGGCGAAAGUCGGACUAAUACCGCAUGAAGCAGGGGCCCCGCAUGGGGAUAUUUGCUAAAGAUUCAUCGCUGAUAGAUAGGCAUGCGUUCCAUUAGGCAGUUGGCGGGGUAACGGCCCACCAAACCGACGAUGGAUAGGGGUUCUGAGAGGAAGGUCCCCCACAUUGGUACUGAGACACGGACCUAACUCCUACGGGAGGCAGCAGUGAGGAAUAUUGGUCAAUGGGCGUAAGCCUGAACCAGCCAAGUCGCGUGAGGGAUGAAGGUUCUAUGGAUCGUAAACCUCUUUUAUAAGGGAAUAAAGUGCGGGACGUGUCCCGUUUUGUAUGUACCUUAUGAAUAAGGAUCGGCUAACUCCGUGCCAGCAGCCGCGGUAAUACGGAGGAUCCGAGCGUUAUCCGGAUUUAUUGGGUUUAAAGGGUGCGUAGGCGGCCUUUUAAGUCAGCGGUGAAAGUCUGUGGCUCAACCAUAGAAUUGCCGUUGAAACUGGGGGGCUUGAGUAUGUUUGAGGCAGGCGGAAUGCGUGGUGUAGCGGUGAAAUGCAUAGAUAUCACGCAGAACCCCGAUUGCGAAGGCAGCCUGCCAAGCCAUUACUGACGCUGAUGCACGAAAGCGUGGGGAUCAAACAGGAUUAGAUACCCUGGUAGUCCACGCAGUAAACGAUGAUCACUAGCUGUUUGCGAUACACUGUAAGCGGCACAGCGAAAGCGUUAAGUGAUCCACCUGGGGAGUACGCCGGCAACGGUGAAACUCAAAGGAAUUGACGGGGGCCCGCACAAGCGGAGGAACAUGUGGUUUAAUUCGAUGAUACGCGAGGAACCUUACCCGGGUUUGAACGCAUUCGGACCGAGGUGGAAACACCUUUUCUAGCAAUAGCCGUUUGCGAGGUGCUGCAUGGUUGUCGUCAGCUCGUGCCGUGAGGUGUCGGCUUAAGUGCCAUAACGAGCGCAACCCUUGCCACUAGUUACUAACAGGUAAAGCUGAGGACUCUGGUGGGACUGCCAGCGUAAGCUGCGAGGAAGGCGGGGAUGACGUCAAAUCAGCACGGCCCUUACAUCCGGGGCGACACACGUGUUACAAUGGCGUGGACAAAGGGAAGCCACCUGGCGACAGGGAGCGAAUCCCCAAACCACGUCUCAGUUCGGAUCGGAGUCUGCAACCCGACUCCGUGAAGCUGGAUUCGCUAGUAAUCGCGCAUCAGCCAUGGCGCGGUGAAUACGUUCCCGGGCCUUGUACACACCGCCCGUCAAGCCAUGGGAGCCGGGGGUACCUGAAGUCCGUAACCGCGAGGAUCGGCCUAGGGUAAAACUGGUGACUGGGGCU
rnacentral:rRNA from 1 species